GAUGAACGCUGGCGGCGUGCCUAAUACAUGCAAGUCGAGCGAACGGACGAGAAGCUUGCUUCUCUGCUGUUAGCGGCGGACGGGUGAGUAACACGUGGAUAACCUACCUAUAUUACUGGGAUAACUUCGUGAAACCGGAGCUAAUACCGGAUAAUAUUUUGUACCGCAUGGUUCAAAAGUAAAUGACGGUCUUGCUGUCUCUUAUAGCUGGAUCCGCGCUGCAUUAGCUAGUUGGUAAGGUAACGGCUUACCAAGGCAACGAUGCAUAGCCGACCUGAGAGGGUGAUCGGCCACACUGGAACUGAGACACGGUCCAGACUCCUACGGGAGGCAGCAGUAGGGAAUAUUGCACAAUGGGCGAAAGCCUGACGGAGCAACGCCGCGUGAGUGAUGAAGGUCUUCGGGUCGUAAAACUCUGUUAUUAGGAAAGAAAAGAUGUGGAAGUAAAUGUGGAUAUUUUGACGGUACCUAAACAGAAAGCAACGGCUAACUACGUG
rnacentral:rRNA from 1 species